rnacentral:rRNA from 1 species
CCUACGGGUGGCAGCAGUGGGGGAUAUUGCACAAUGGGGGGAACCCUGAUGCAGCGACGCCGCGUGGGUGAAGAAGCGCCUCGGCGCGUAAAGCUCUGUCAGCAGGGAAGAAAAUGACGGUACCUGAAUAAGAAGCCCCGGCUAACUACGUGCCAGCAGCCGCGGUAAUACGUAGGGGGCAAGCGUUAUCCGGAUUUACUGGGUGGAAAGGGGGCGGAGACGGCGUUGCAAGCCUGAAGUGAAAGCCCGGGGCCCAACCCCGGGACUGCUCUUGAAACUGCGUGGCUGGAGUGCAGGAGGGGCAGGCGGAAUUCCUGGUGUAGCGGUGAAAUGCGUAGAUAUCAGGAGGAACACCAGUGGCGAAGGCGACCUGCUGGACUGCAACUGACGUUGAGGCCCGAAAGCGUGGGGAGCAAACAGGAUUAGAUACCCCAGUAGUC